UACGAAGGGGGCUAGCGUUGCUCGGAAUCACUGGGCGUAAAGCGCACGUAGGCGGAUCGCUAAGUCAGGGGUGAAAUCCUGGAGCUCAACUCCAGAACUGCCUUUGAUACUGGCGAUCUUGAGUUCGGGAGAGGUGAGUGGAACUGCGAGUGUAGAGGUGAAAUUCGUAGAUAUUCGCAAGAACACCAGUGGCGAAGGCGGCUCACUGGCCCGAUACUGACGCUGAGGUGCGAAAGCGUGGGGAGCAAACAGG
rnacentral:rRNA from 1 species